UAGGGAAUCUUCCGCAAUGGGCGAAAGCCUGACGGAGCAACGCCGCGUGAGUGAUGAAGGUCUUCGGAUCGUAAAACUCUGUUAUUAGGGAAGAACAAAUGUGUAAGUAACUAUGCACAUCUUGACGGUAUCUAACCAGAAAGCCACGGCUAACUACGUGCCAGCAGCCGCGGUAAUACGUAGGUGGCAAGCGUUGUCCGGAUUUAUUGGGCGUAAAGCGAGCGCAGGCGGUCAAUUAAGUCUGAUGUGAAAGCCCCCGGCUCAACCGGGGAGGGUCAUUGGAAACUGGUUGACUUGAGUGCAGAAGAGGAGAGUGGAAUUCCAUGUGUAGCGGUGAAAUGCGUAGAUAUAUGGAGGAACACCAGUGGCGAAGGCGACUCUCUGGUCUGUAACUGACGCUGAGGUUCGAAAGCGUGGGUAGCAAACAGG
rnacentral:rRNA from 1 species